GGGCACACCUGUCUGUACUUUUAGCAGGAAACUUAAUGAACUAAGGAGCUAUCCGUACCCCAGCCAUCAAACGCCAUCAGAUCUGAGGGAUAAAGAUGUGAGCAUCAAGAUGUGAUCAGGAGCAGCUGAGAGUUCCUGCCACAAGCCUUUCCUCAACCACCAUGGACUCCAACCCUCCAAAACUAGUUCCUCUCUGCCUGGAAGCCUCAUCUAUGUCUCCUGACUACAAUGUAUAAGACCUCUGAGAUGUGUUCCAAAGACCUAACCCAAGAAUCCACA